UUUUUUAGUUUUUUUGAAUUUUUUUUUUAAGUAUCCAUACUUAUUUUGUGUACAACUUUUUUUUUUAUUUAAA